rnacentral:rRNA from 1 species
AACGUACGCUGGCGGCACGCCUAACACAUGCAAGUCGAACGAAGUAGCAAUACUUAGUGGCAGACGGGUGAGUAACAUGUAGGUAUCUGCCCUUUGGCCUGGAAUAACACGAGGAAACUUGUGCUAAUACCGGAUAAGUCUUUACGGAGAAAGCUUUAUGCACCAUUGGAUGAGCCUGCACUUGAUUAGUUUGUUGGUGGGGUAAUGGCCUACCAAGACUGUGAUCAAUAGCUGAUUUGAGAGGAUGAUCAGCCACAUUGGGACUGAGACACGGCCCAAACUCCUACGGGAGGCAGCAGUGGGGAAUCUUGCACAAUGGAGGAAACUCUGAUGCAGCGAUGCCGCGUGAGUGAAGAAGGCCCUUGGGUUGUAAAGCUCUUUCGUCGGGGAAGAAAAUGACUGUACCCGAAUAAGAAGGUCCGGCUAACUUCGUGCCAGCAGCCGCGGUAAUACGAAGGGACCUAGCGUAGUUCGGAAUUACUGGGCUUAAAGAGUUCGUAGGUGGUUGAAAAAGUUAGUGGUGAAAUCCCAGAGCUUAACUCUGGAACUGCCAUUAAAACUUUUCAGCUAGAGUAUGAUAGAGGAAAGCAGAAUUUCUAGUGUAGAGGUGAAAUUCGUAGAUAUUAGAAAGAAUACCAAUUGCGAAGGCAGCUUUCUGGAUCAUUACUGACACUGAGGAACGAAAGCAUGGGUAGCGAAGAGGAUUAGAUACCCUCGUAGUCCAUGCCGUAAACGAUGUGUGUUAGGCGUUGGAAAUUUAUUUUCAGUGUCGCAGGGAAACCGAUAAACACACCGCCUGGGGAGUACGACCGCAAGGUUAAAACUCAAAUGAAUUGACGGGGACCCGCACAAGUAGUGGAGCAUGUGGUUUAAUUCGAAGAUACGCGCAGAACCUUACCAACACUUGACAUGUUCGUCGCGACUCUAAGAGAUUAGAGUUUUCGGUUCGGCCGGACGAAACACAGGUGCUGCAUGGCUGUCGUCAGCUCGUGUCGUGAGAUGUUGGGUUAAGUCCCGCAACGAGCGCAACCCUCACUUUUAGUUGCCUUCAUUAAGUUGGGCACUCUGAAAGAACUGCCAGUGAUAAGUUGGAGGAAGGUGGGGAUGGCGUCAAGUCCUCAUGGCCCUUACGUGUUGGGCUACACACGUGUUACAAUGGUAUUUACAACAGGAAGCAAGACUGCGAAGUUAAGCAAAUCCCUAAAAGAUACCUCAGUUCGGAUUGCACUCUGCAACUCGAGUGCAUGAAGCUGGAAUUAUUAGUAAUCGUGGAUCAGCGUGCCACGGUGAAUGCGUUCCCGGGUCU